AGACAGGUGGUGCAUGGUUGUCGUCAAGCUCGUGUCGUGAGAUGGUUGGGUUAAGUCCCGCAACGAGCGACAACCCUUGUGUUUUAGUUGCAAACAGGUCAAGCUGUGCACUCUAGACAGACUGCCGUGGACAACACGGAGGAAGGUGGGGAUGACGUCAAAUCAUCAUGCCCCUUAUGAUCUGGGCUACACACGUGCUACAAUGGCCGGUACAACGGGCAGCGAAGGAGCGAUCCGGAGCGAAUCCUAAAAAAGCCGGUCCCAGUUCGGAUUGCAGGCUGAAACUCGCCUACAUGAAGUUGGAGUUGCUAGUAAUCGCGAAUCAGAAUGUCGCGGUGAAUGCGUUCCCGGGUCUU
rnacentral:rRNA from 1 species